CAUUCAUAAUAAGUGUUUUAUGGCACUUUUUAAAUCCAUAUCCACCUUGUGUGCAAUGUCAGUCGAUCUUCAAGGAGAUCGGCCAAACAUCAACCUUAUUUUUUAACUCUUUGUCUGAAAAAUAUUAUGAAUAAACAAUUCAAAAUACAACUUUCAACAACGGAUCUCUUGGCUCUCGCAUCGAUGAAGAACGCAGCGAAAUGCGAUACGUAAUGUGAAUUGCAGAAUUCAGUGAAUCAUCGAAUCUUUGAACGCAUAUUGCGCUCUUUGGUAUUCCGAAGAGCAUGCUUGUUUGAGUAUCAGUAAACACCUCAAAGCUUUUGGAUUUUUUUUGAAAGCUUUGGACUUGAGCAAUCCCAACGCCAAUCUUUUUCAGAUCGGCGGCGGGUUGCUUGAAAUGCAGGUGCAGCUGGACUUUCUCCUGAGCUAAAAGCAUAGUCAUUUAGUCCCGUCAAACGGAUUAUUACUUUUGCUGCAGCUAACAUAAAGGGAGUUUGACCGUAUUGGCUGACUGAUGCAGGAUUUUACAAGGGUCGGCAACGAUUCUUGUUAAACUCGAUCUCAAAUCAAGUAAGACUACCC
rnacentral:rRNA from 1 species